GUCCGCGUCGGCGAUCCGGGGUCUGGGCGCGGCGAGGUGGGCGCUGUUGCCUGUGGGGGCUACCUGUCUGCUGGUGCUGUGCGGGCUUGUGCGGGGCUGUGCGGCAGCUGUGUGGGGCCCGUGAGGAGCUGUGCGGGGGGCUGUGCGAAGGGCUGUGUGAGGCGCUGUGCUGGGGGCUGUGCGGAGACCUUGAGGCGCUGUGCGGGGUCCGUGAGGCUCUGUGUGGGGCGCCGUGUGGGAGACUCUGCGGGGGCCGUAAAGGGUCCGUGAGGCGCUGUGUGCGGGUUGUGAGGCGCUGUGCGGGGACCAUGAAGGGGCCGUGGGGCGCUGUGCGGGUGCCGUGGGGCGCUGUGUGGGAGGGAGGCUGUGCGGGGCCGUGGGACGGUGUGCGGGGCUGAGGGGAGGGCGGGUCGCGCUGUGCCCUCCUUGAAGCUCUUGGACGGCCCCGCUGGGUAUGGGGGUGCACACAGGCCCGAGGGCAGGCGCUGGAGGAUGUAUCCCGGGAUCCACUCUUAACCCGGCAGCCGAAGGCACCCUGUCCCGCCGCCCACAGCCUUCUCCGCGCCAUGUCCUGGGCCAGGAUCCCCCGCCACGGGGCUCACACGAAAGACCCCGGGGCGGGGAAGCCCCGCAGCCCGGAGCUGGGUCCAACCUGCAUUAAGGUCUGGUGUGGCAGAUGUGGAUAGCUGGACCCUCCUGGGUGCCUCUGCGUUAUGUCGUUUGGUUGAUGCAUUUGGAGAGAAUCUGUGCUCUCCACAACUGCAGGGGCAACAUGCUUUCCUGGCCUCUUCAGAUCAGGGUGGCUGUUCUUGGGUGCUGCACCAAAACUCCAGCAGUGGGCUUUCUUCAAGUGGCCGGCUCACCUCAUUCCUGCCAAGACCCAGGUCCGUGUUCUCACAGUGCUGCCAUCUUUCCUCCGUGUGAGCGUGGGCUGUGCGGAGAGUGGACCUCGGUGUGUGCGGGGCUGCGUGCACUGCCAUCGCUCCCUCUACACGAGCCGGCGUGGACCCAGGGCUGAGCUGUGACCACGAGGGCCAUCCCGACGAGCCGCCAUGGACCCAGGGCUGAGCUGUGACCAUGAGGGCUAUCCCGACGAGCUGCCGUGGACCCAGGGCUGAGCCGUGACCAUGAGGGCCAUCCCGAAACUGUGAUUGUUUUCUGAUGAAGAAACCAAGGCUUUGUGACUAACUCAACCCCUCAAGAAGGACAAAACUAGCAUCAGAGCCCCUUGCUCCUGGGUCUGGCAAGAAUGCCUCUUGUUUGCUGAGAGGUCCACAGAUUUACCCGGCUCAAGACUGGGAGAUGGGAGGUGACCAGGAUCCUCAGGGAUUUCCUAGGCUUCCACCCUCACCCAGACAUCACUGGACCGUCACUGAAACACCCGCUUCCAGUGUGCUCAGGUCCUGCAGCCUCCUGUCCAUCCUUGCCCCGCCUCCCGCCCGGAGGAAAGACUCUGACACUGCCCCUGGAAGAGGGAGGAGAGUGGAUGUGAUGAGUGAAGAUUUGGGUGGGGAAAGGAAGGCCUGAGUCCUGGGAGGAAGAGCUCUCCCCGCCCCGAGCCCCCGGAGACUGUGAGCAAGGCUGAGACGCCUCCUUCCUGGUGCUCAAGCUGCAGGUGUUGGAUAGGCCUCCAGAAGCCCAGAUUUUAAAUGACCGCUCCAGGUUAACCUGGGGAUGGUCAGGCAGAACAAGGAGGAGAGGCCAGCAGUGAAGGGCAGGGCUGGUGGGCAGUGGCUGGGGGUGUCCUGGGUGGGGCUGGCCACCCUCGCUGCCUCUGACUUGGGCCAGACCUGCGUUAAGUGGAGUGGCUCCUCCAUUCUUUACACCCCAGGCCCCUGGCAGGUGCCCUGCCUUUCCUCUGCCCCUCUCUCUGCCAACCCAUCCUCUCCCUCCCAGCCCCUGCCCGCCCAGAUAUAAAUAUAAGAGCAUUUUCCAUGGGCUGAGACAGAAGGGAAAACAUUCAGCUUUAUUUUCGGCUUGUGAAAUUCCUGUCCUUCAUUCCCAACAGGUGCAAUCGCCUCAUUUAGAUAUUGGGACCCAGAAAUAGAAGACAAUUUACAAUAUAGCUUCCUUUAGGGAUCUGGAUGCUACCAAACAAACAAACAAACAAAAAAAGCCCUCCUGUGAGAUGCCGAGACUUAAUAGAAACCGUGGUUGGAGCUCUUGCCUUUUUCCAGGCCGGUGGAGACCCUCACCCCUGGCAGCCUGACCGUGAAGCAGAGGAGGCAAGAGCUCCGGGAGACAGUCGGGAGGGAGGGGGCCCUGGAGGACAGGCUCCUAGCCCUACUCCUCCUCAAGACCCGGGUGCUGGCCUGUCCCCUGCCUUUGCCCCGAUGGGGAUGAGGGAGAGGAGAUGGGUCAGGGAACAGCUAUGGCCAUUGGGGAAGGUGACUUGGAUGCAACCUUUGAAAGAGAUGCUUCCAGUAAACCCCAUCGGUUAAGAUCAGCUGUCCCCCAUGAUCCUUUGUGUGUGUUUUUUUGUUUUCACACAGGGUCUCGGUCUGUCGCCCAGGCUGAGUGCAGUGGUGUGAUCUUGGCUCACUGCAACCUCCACCUCCUGGGCACAAGCAAUCCUCCUGCCUCAGCCUCCUGGAUAGCUCAGACUACAGGGGUGUGCCACCAUACCCAGCUCAUUCUUUUGUAUUUUUAGUAGAGACAGAGUUUUGCCAUGUUGCCCAGGCUGGUCUCAAACUCCUGGGCUCAAGUGAUCCACCCGCCUUGGCCUCCCACAGGGCUGGGAUUACAGGAGUGAACUCCCAUGCCUGGCCCUCAUGAUCCUUUGUAGACUGAGGGACAAAAGAAGAGGGUGAGGCCUCCCCUCUCCUCAGCGCUGAGUGCAAGGACCCUCAAGGCAACUCUUGGCAAAGCCCCAUGUUUCCACUGGCUGUUUAGGUGGAAUUGCGUCCCCCCGCUUCCGUAUGUUGAAGUCCUAAUUUUCGGGCCCUCCGCUUGUGACCAUAUUUGGAAGUAGAGGCUUUGCAGAUGUCAUGAGUUAAGAUGGGGGCCUCCUGGAGCAGGGCAACAUGACUGUAUCCUCAUAAGAAGAGGAGAGACAGAAACAGACACACACAGGGAGAUGCCACGGGACUCCCAAAGCCACAAGAAAGCCUGGAACAGCCCCGCCCUCACAGCCUCUGAAGGAACCAGCCCUGCCUUCACCUGGAUCUGGGACUUCCAGCCUCCAGGACUGGGGGAGAAUGAAACUCUGUUGUUUCGGCCACUCAGGCUGGGGUGCUUUGUUAUGGCAGCUGAGUGGGUGCCUCCCUCUCUGGGGACGGCCAAUCCCUGUAGGGGAGGCAGUGGUCCCGGUCCAGGAAGGUGAGAGAGGCUUUCUCAGUGUCUUCACUUCGCCAGCUCACGUGGAGACUGGUAGCGGCUGGAGCCCAAGCUCUUCUGGGGAGCCGGUUUACUCAAGGUCACCCUUGAUCCAGCGGAGCCCAAGGUCUAGGUCAAGCUUCCUCUGGGAUGUCCCCAAGGCUCUUCAAACAGGUGUCGUCAAGCCAUCUGCCCAAGGGCCCGUCAGCACCUGGCAGGUGUUAGCCAGGCUGAUCUGCAGGCGGGGCUGCCCCGAGUGGGGCUCCCACUGCCCGGGUUGGGACUGGAGCAGCCAAGUGGCUGAGCAACAAGGUGCUUCAUGUGUGGUCCCUGUGAGCCCCCCUGAAUAGUCUCAUGGACAGACGGAUGGACGGGAGGCUCAGUGGGCUCUGGGAGCAAGGGGAGCGCUUGCCGCUCUCCACGUGGCUCCAUUCCAGGACCAGGACAAUGAUGUCUUCCUGUCUGCAGCCAGAAGCAGGGCAGCUGACAGCGGCCCAGCCCUCCUGAGGGACAGGUGUCCGCUCCCAGAAACCUCCCUUCCACCAUCCCCAUCAGCGAAGGUGUCAGGGACUAGGAGGGGCCUCCUUGCUCCUUCCUGGACGCUGCCCCUGGGGUUGAGCUGGAGAGGCUGAGACAUGCUGGGAAGAGGAGGACCAGCCCAGUGGGCGGCCGCCCAACAGCUCGGCGGUGAGAAGAGGCCACGUGUAAGAAGGAAACGCCACCACCCCACUGGAUGGUGGGAGCAGGACUCCAGGGAGGGGGGUCUUGAGUGUAGGCAACCAUGUCGAUUUGGCACAGUGUCUCAACAGGGCAGGGCAAGGGUCUGGGAUUCCAGUUCACGGAUGCCCCAGGUACCAUGGGUGGACAGAGGCCCAGACCCUCUGCAAGACAGCAGUGAUCAUGUCAGACCCUCGCAGCGCUUGAGGGCUGCAGCAGGAGCCCUGAGUCCUCUGUUCUGACCAGGCAGCAGGGAGGACUCGCUGCCCCCAGCUGCACAACGCCUGCCCCGGCCUUGGUCUUGGCCCUCUACCCGGCACCAGCUGGAGCCUCUUGGCCAUUCCUCUGUGCCAUGGGACACUCUCCCACUCCUGCGCUGGCUUCUGCCCACAGUGGCGCCCCUGCUCACCCACUGGCAGUGUCCCCACCUCUCAGAAGAGUUUUUCACAGUGGCAGGCCCUGACCCAGAGUCUCCUGCCUACUUGGUGGCUAAAGGCCCCAGGCGAUCCCCAAAUCCUGCUGUCUCAGGGAGUUUCUCAGAGUCCCACCUCCUCCACAGAACCAGGGGAUUGGCCAAGACUCAAAGCUUCGAAGAACGGAACAUGCAGGUGUGCAGAGACCAUUUAUUACCCCACGGCUGUUAUUGCCUGGGAAGCUGAGUGCCCUGAGACCC
rnacentral:lncRNA from 1 species